rnacentral:tRNA from 1 species
GGGAAUGUGGCUCAGUGGUAGAGUGCUUGCCUAGCAUGCUUGAAGUCCUGGGUUCGAUUCCUCAGUACCA